rnacentral:lncRNA from 1 species
GGCCUUGAGGCUGUGUUGUGGAGCUUUUAAAACUACCCCAGUGUUAGCAUUACAGGUAGAAAUAGGAGAAUGUCCUUUAGAAUUAAGAAGGAAGCAGUUGAUGGUAAAUUAUUGGGCAGGUUUACAAGGGCAUAAUGAUUCACAUCCUACUAAGGCAAUGUUACAGGAGAGCUGGGAAUAUGGGAAAAGGCUAAAUGAUAACUUUGGUAGGAUUGGAAAUGACUCAGCUAAAGAAUUGGGAGUUUUUAAUUUGAGGAUAAGUUGCACAGUAGUUUAUCCAGAGACGGCUCCCUGGAAGUUAGUUUGGCCUGAGGUAGAUUGGUAUGUGUUAGACGAAAAAGGGAGGGCAAAGGAAGAUAUAAAUCUAAAAAUGGUCUUCAACAAUCGGAUAGCGGAAAAAUAUAAUGAUUACAUACAGGUUUAUACAGAUGGUGCCAAGGAACCAGAGACGGAAGUAACCGGAUUGAGUGUGGUGGUUCCAAGUAAAGGAAUUGGAAUUAAUAGAAGAACAUCUAAUAUGUUAGGGGUUUAUACAGUGGAAAUGCUGGCAAUAUUAAUCGCUGUACGAUGGGUGGAAAAGACAGGGCAGCAUAACGUUUUGGUUUGUUCAGAUUCAUCAUCAGUUUUAGCAAGUAUAAGGUCAUUUUAUUCAAAAAGUCGGCAAGAUAUACUGUUUGAAGUCCUACAGUCAGUUACAAGAAUAUAUAACCAAGGAAGGCAGAUCAAAUUUUUAUGGGUACCAGGACAUGUAGGGAUAAGGGGAAAUGAAAUGGCAGAUAAAUUAGCUAAAACGGCGUUAACAAAAGGAAACAUAGAAAUGCAAGUAAGUAUCAGUAAAGCAGAGGUUAAAAGUGUGAUAUGGAAGACAAUAAAUCAAAUGUGGCAAGAGAGGUGGGAUAGAGAGGGGAAAGGAAGGCAUUUAUAUCAAAUCCAGAGGGAUGUUAAAUGUUCAGUGAUUGGUAGUGGAAAUCGCAGAGAGGAAACAGUCAUAUCUAGGUUAAGAUUGGGACAUUGUUUAUUAAAUAAAACACUCAAGUUAAUAGGGAAACAUGAUACUGGAUUGUGUGAGGUUUGCCAGGAAGAAGAGUCAGUGGAGCAUGUGGUCUUGAGGUGCAGCAGGUAUGAGGUUCAGAGAGAGUUGAUGAGGAAUAAGUUGAGAGAGAUAGAGGUUCAGGACAUGACAUUAAAAGAGCUGUUGAGCACACAACACAGGGCACAGACUAGAAUUCUUAUGGAUUUCUUAAGGGACACAGGGGUUUUUAAUAGAGUAUGAAGAGUUAUAGGAGUAUUGAGGAAGGUUAAAAUCAUUAUUAUUAUUAUAUAAUAGAAUAAGGAUGAAGUGUGUGGAUUUGUAUGCUUGGGGGAGAAGGAGGGAAUUUGGG